AGGAGUUUGGAUCCUGGCUCAGGAUGAACGCUAGCGGCAGGCCUAACACAUGCAAGUCGAGGGGUAACAGGGAGUGCUUGCACUCUGCUGACGACCGGCGCACGGGUGAGUAACGCGUAUACAAUCUACCUUAUACUGGGGGAUAGCCUUUAGAAAUGAAGAUUAAUACCCCAUGGUAUGUAUUUGUGGCAUCACAGAUAUAUUAAAGGUUACGGUAUAAGAUGAGUAUGCGUCCUAUUAGUUUGUUGGUAAGGUAACGGCUUACCAAGACUACGAUAGGUAGGGGCCCUGAGAGGGGGAUCCCCCACACUGGUACUGAGACACGGACCAGACUCCUACGGGAGGCAGCAGUGAGGAAUAUUGGACAAUGGGCGAGAGCCUGAUCCAGCCAUGCCGCGUGCAGGAAGACUGCCCUAUGGGUUGUAAACUGCUUUUAUACAGGAAGAAACAUCCCGACGUGUCGGGAUUUGACGGUACUGUAAGAAUAAGGACCGGCUAACUCCGUGCCAGCAGCCGCGGUAAUACGGAGGGUCCGAGCGUUAUCCGGAAUUAUUGGGUUUAAAGGGUCCGUAGGCGGGCAGCUAAGUCAGUGGUGAAAGUCUGCAGCUCAACUGUAGAAUUGCCAUUGAUACUGGUUGUCUUGAAUUAUUAUGAAGUGAUUAGAAUAUGUAGUGUAGCGGUGAAAUGCAUAGAUAUUAC
rnacentral:rRNA from 1 species